UGGGAAUCGUGCCAUAGCUGGUGGAACAGG
rnacentral:piRNA from 1 species